GACGAACGCUGGCGGCGUGCUUAACACAUGCAAGUCGAACGGAAAGGCCCCUUCGGGGGUACUCGAGUGGCGAACGGGUGAGUAGCACGUGAGUAACCUGCACUUGACUUCGGGAUAACUUCAGGAAACUGGGGCUAAUACCGGAUAGGAAUCCUUGCUGCAUGGUGGGGGUUGGAAAGCUUCGGCGGGUUUGGAUGGAUUCGCGGCGUAUCAGCUUGUUGGUGGGGUAGUGUCUUACCAAGGCGUUGACGGGUAGCCGGCCUGAGAGGGCGACCGGCGACACUGGGUCCGAGAGACGGCCCAGGCACCUACGGGAGCGAGAUGUGGGGAAGAUUGAAGGAGGAGCGCAAGCCGGAUGCUGCAACUCCGCGGGCGGGAAGACGGUCUUCGGGUUGUAAACCGCUUUCAUCAGUAGCGAAGCAUGUGGUGACGGUACCUGCAGAGGAAGCACCGGCUAACUACGUG
rnacentral:rRNA from 1 species